GAAGGAAUAGUUUAAAUAAGAAUAGAAGAUUGCAAAUUUUCAGGUACCCCCUUUUCCUUUU
rnacentral:tRNA from 1 species